rnacentral:rRNA from 1 species
AGUGAACGCUGGCGGUAGGCCUAACACAUGCAAGUCGAACGGCAGCACAGUAAGAGCUUGCUCUUACGGGUGGCGAGUGGCGGACGGGUGAGGAAUACAUCGGAAUCUACUUUUUCGUGGGGGAUAACGUAGGGAAACUUACGCUAAUACCUCAUACGACCUACGGGUGAAAGCAGGGGAUCUUCGGACCUUGCGCGAUUGAAUGAGCCGAUGUCGGAUUAGCUAGUUGGCGGGGUAAAGGCCCACCGAGGCGACGAUCCGUAGCUGGUCUGAGAGGGUGAUCAGCCACAUUGGAACUGAGACACGGUCCAGACUCCUACGGGAGGCAGCAGUGGGGAAUAUUGGACAAUGGGCGCAAGCCUGAUCCAGCCAGACCGCGUGGGUGAAGAAGGCCUUCGGGUUGUAAAGCCCUUUUGUUGGGAAAGAAAAGCAGCAGGUUAAUAACCCGCUGUUCUGACGGUACCCAAAGAAUAAGCACCGGCUAACUUCGUG